CAGAGAUGCUGCUGAACAGUGCAUCAGGGAAGCUCAGCAUGGGGUGUUCCCUUUGUGCCUUCAAAUCUGGUGUCUUCAGCUGCAGACAACACUGAAGUAGAGUUUCUGUCUCCUCCAGGGCUAUAGAGAAAUACACUGUCUCAUCAUUCUAGGGAUUUCUUCUGUUUGUCAAGGGAGCACCAGAACGAGAAAAUAUGUCACGUUCUCUACUUCUCCAAACCUUUCAAACCUGUUUGAGAUCCUACUAAAUUCACCUCUAAGCAACUGUGUUAAGAAAGAACUACAUGGCCCCAAGUGCUCUUGUGAAAUAUGACUAUCCAGGACUAAAUUAAAGGGCCCCUGACUAUCUACCCUAGGAAGGAAGAGAGGAACUGAAAUGUUCUCACCCAAAAUAUGAGCCAUCCUGAAGGAGACGACUAUGUGAAGUUCCCUCAUUGUGUCAGUAUACAGUGUGUGUAUGAAGAGAAACAUCGCAUUCUAUCCCAAAAUACGUACAAAUAGUAUGUGUCAAUCAAAAAUGAAAAGAGUUAAGUAGAAAAGAGGAAAUGAAUACUGUUACAAGCAUCCCUGCAACAAAACUGGAGAAGCCCGGAAGUUGCUUGGGGCUUCGGUUUGUUUUCCACCAGGGACAAACCGAGGUCAUCUCUAAGCGCUGUGCUGCUCCAGAAACCAAAUCCUCAGAGGAUGGCUCUCACUCAGUGCGCAGAGCUCCUUUCCCUGGUGUAACCACUGGGAGAACUUAUAGCCCAUCGAUGAACACUGCCCUGUUCCUCCAUCCCCCGUACGAUUGUAGCCUCCGCUCACAACCAUCCUACUCCAAACUUCUAUGAGAUCAACUUUUGGAUUCCACAGAUGGGUA